CUGGUUCUCAGCUAAAAGACAGGCUUGGGAGGGAUGGGAUGAAUUCAGCUGGCUCUCUAGGCUACUGCUUAAAAGGAGGUCAUGAGGAAACCAACAAUUCUGCAAGAGCAUGUCUGGACCAGAUGACAUUGCAAAUCCAGAGUCCCCAAGGUAAAUAAACAGCAAUAACUCUAGGCUUUAAAAGAGAAUCCAGCCAAAUUCUGAAGUGGGAGCAACAGAGAAAUAGCCUGGAAAUCCACCAUGAUUAUAUUAAGUUACACCUUAAAUGGGAGCCUGGAAGGGCAAAAGGAAGGGAAGGUCCAGUGGGCUGUCCAGGCUGCAUGAAGAUCUGCGAGCACACCUGCCCUCAGCUCCGCAAUCCCCAUUUGACAUCUGGCUGGGGACAGUCACAGACUCACAAGGCUCCCUCUCCCUGAACCGGUCAAGAAAAGAGAAGAGGGAGGCCAAAACUGUCCCCAGUGCUGGGGCCUGUCCAUGUCCUGAAUCAGCAUUCAUGAAACUCACACAAGAUUUCCUGGGAUGAAGGUCACUCGUGUGCUGAAAGCCUAUCACAGGGGACCUCAUCCUGCCCCAAACACCUGGGAGACCAGAGCUGGAUAUAUUGACCUCCCACCUGGGAGGGAAGCACAUGAUGAGCCAAGUCUGCUGGCCCCCGUUUCACAGAAGAGAAUGGAGGAACAAGGCAUUGAAAGAACAAAUCCAAACUAAAUUGGAAAAAAUAAACAGUCUCUGAGGAGCA
rnacentral:lncRNA from 12 species